AAAUUGAAGAGUUUGAUCAUGGCUCAGAUUGAACGCUGGCGGCAGGCCUAACACAUGCAAGUCGAGCGGCAGCGGGAAGUAGUUUACUACUUUGCCGGCGAGCGGCGGACGGGUGAGUAAUGUCUGGGAAACUGCCUGAUGGAGGGGGAUAACUACUGGAAACGGUAGCUAAUACCGCAUAACGUCUUCGGACCAAAGUGGGGGACCUUCGGGCCUCACGCCAUCGGAUGUGCCCAGAUGGGAUUAGCUAGUAGGUGGGGUAAUGGCUCACCUAGGCGACGAUCCCUAGCUGGUCUGAGAGGAUGACCAGCCACACUGGAACUGAGACACGGUCCAGACUCCUACGGGAGGCAGCAGUGGGGAAUAUUGCACAAUGGGCGCAAGCCUGAUGCAGCCAUGCCGCGUGUGUGAAGAAGGCCUUCGGGUUGUAAAGC
rnacentral:rRNA from 1 species